GACGAACGCUGGCGGCGUGCCUAAUACAUGCAAGUCGAACGAACUCUGGUAUUGAUUGGUGCUUGCAUCAUGAUUUACAUUUGAGUGAGUGGCGAACUGGUGAGUAACACGUGGGAAACCUGCCCAGAAGCGGGGGAUAACACCUGGAAACAGAUGCUAAUACCGCAUAACAACUUGGACCGCAUGGUCCGAGCUUGAAAGAUGGCUUCGGCUAUCACUUUUGGAUGGUCCCGCGGCGUAUUAGCUAGAUGGUGGGGUAACGGCUCACCAUGGCAAUGAUACGUAGCCGACCUGAGAGGGUAAUCGGCCACAUUGGGACUGAGACACGGCCCAAACUCCUACGGGAGGCAGCAGUAGGGAAUCUUCCACAAUGGACGAAAGUCUGAUGGAGCAACGCCGCGUGAGUGAAGAAGGGUUUCGGCUCGUAAAACUCUGUUGUUAAAGAAGAACAUAUCUGAGAGUAACUGUUCAGGUAUUGACGGUAUUUAACCAGAAAGCCACGGCUAACUACGUGCCAGCAGCCGCGGUAAUACGUAGGUGGCAAGCGUUGUCCGGAUUUAUUGGGCGUAAAGCGAGCGCAGGCGGUUUUUUAAGUCUGAUGUGAAAGCCUUCGGCUCAACCGAAGAAGUGCAUCGGAAACUGGGAAACUUGAGUGCAGAAGAGGACAGUGGAACUCCAUGUGUAGCGGUGAAAUGCGUAGAUAUAUGGAAGAACACCAGUGGCGAAGGCGGCUGUCUGGUCUGUAACUGACGCUGAGGCUCGAAAGUAUGGGUAGCAAACAGGAUUAGAUACCCUGGUAGUCCAUACCGUAAACGAUGAAUGCUAAGUGUUGGAGGGUUUCCGCCCUUCAGUGCUGCAGCUAACGCAUUAAGCAUUCCGCCUGGGGAGUACGGCCGCAAGGCUGAAACUCAAAGGAAUUGACGGGGGCCCGCACAAGCGGUGGAGCAUGUGGUUUAAUUCGAAGCUACGCGAAGAACCUUACCAGGUCUUGACAUACUAUGCAAAUCUAAGAGAUUAGACGUUCCCUUCGGGGACAUGGAUACAGGUGGUGCAUGGUUGUCGUCAGCUCGUGUCGUGAGAUGUUGGGUUAAGUCCCGCAACGAGCGCAACCCUUAUUAUCAGUUGCCAGCAUUAAGUUGGGCACUCUGGUGAGACUGCCGGUGACAAACCGGAGGAAGGUGGGGAUGACGUCAAAUCAUCAUGCCCCUUAUGACCUGGGCUACACACGUGCUACAAUGGAUGGUACAACGAGUUGCGAACUCGCGAGAGUAAGCUAAUCUCUUAAAGCCAUUCUCAGUUCGGAUUGUAGGCUGCAACUCGCCUACAUGAAGUCGGAAUCGCUAGUAAUCGCGGAUCAGCAUGCCGCGGUGAAUACGUUCCCGGGCCUUGUACACACCGCCCGUCACACCAUGAGAGUUUGUAACACCCAAAGUCGGUGGGGUAACCUUUUAGGAACCAGCCGCCUAAGGUGGGACAGAUGAUU
rnacentral:rRNA from 1 species